ensembl:lncRNA
UGGGGAUAGGAAGGGUACCGGAGUGGGGCACCAGCUGUGGCGGAGACAAUGGAAGGAUUCACACUAAUAACCUUCACACACACACACACAAUGGACCAUAAUAAAUGCAUUAAUAGAGAUGAUGAUACUAUAAGGAUGUUGAUUUAUUGCUGAUAACUGUCAAGAUUAAUAAUAACAAUAAUAAUAAUGACUAUGACUUAUUUUCAGAGUGGAGUAAAUUGAACUGGUUUGCAGACAGUUGGGGCUCAGACAGUCUCUCGGUGGUGAACUUAUGGAAGGAAACUAGUGUCUUAUCUCUCUUCAGGCCUUCAUUUUGACCCGGACCAGCCUGCACUGCUGGCUGCCAGUCCGUCUCAACAUUCUUCAUUCUGGCUUCUUCAGAUUUCUGCCUGCUUUCUCUCUCACAGCCUUUCCUUUUGACACUUUUGUACUUAACAGAUAUUUUUCGAUGAAGCUGUCAAUGAGGCCUGCACUUUUCUACUCCUAAUUUUAAUGUCCUCGGCAGGACGCGACCCGUUCCCAACAAAAACCCCUUUUCUCUUCUGUUCUCACCCAUGCUGUUGGUUGUGACACAAAGCAACAAGGUUCCUCUUUUUUCUGUAAGUUUGGAACGUUGUUUUUUUUUUUUUUAAAAAGGUCGGCAUGUUGUCAGGCACCUAGCAGAACAAUACACCCAAGGGACCUCUUAAGGAUGUUUCUCGUUGCCACAUAAAAUUUAGCCAUGACUAAGUAAGCCAAAUGAUUGCUAUUAAUAGACAUCUCUUAAUUCUUCGAUUCUGUAAUAUGUUGGAUGAAAUUGGAUGAGUCUGACCCACAUUUCAGAAUUUGUGGCUGUUGCACUGGUUCACAUGGAUUAUCCUUUGAUAGGUGAGAAACGUCCGAUUAGUGAUUCUGAAGGAAUGCGUCUCUAUAUGUUUGUAUGUUUGGGCUGCCUGACAAUCCCUUUACAUCUCUGUCUCUCCUUUCUUGUGUGUGAUUCUGUGUGUGUGUGUGUGUGUGUGUGUGUGUGUGUGUGUGUGUGUGUGUGUGUGUGUGUGUGUGUGUGUGUGUGUGUGUGUGUGUGUGUGUGUGUGUGUGUGUGUGUGUGUGUGUGUGUGUGUGUGUGUGUGUGUGUGUGUGUGUGUGUGUGUGUGUGUGAGUGUGUGUGAGUGUGUGUGAGUGUGUGUGAGAGUGUGUGUGUGUGAGUGUGUGUGUGUGAGUGUGUGUGUGAGUGUGUGAGUGAGUGAGAAUAAUGCCCACUCAUGCUGUUCUUCACAUCGGCAUCAUCAUCACCAUGAGAAGGUUUCUGGUUUCUGUCCCUCUCUCCUUCACUUUACUCUGGUAGUCUUAAAGCGAGGCGAUAAUGCUCUGAUCCAUCCACACUCAAGAUGUUUUCCUGUGUCUGUUACACUUAGAUCUGCUUCUUUUAGUGUUUUCUACUAGUUGUUGACUCUUGACUGUCGAGUGUGUGGCUAACAGACGUAUUUUGAACUCUAGGAUAAGAGGGCUUUUCUGAUGUCACACGAGAAUGUUUUUGUCCAAUAAGGAGAGACGGCCGCUCGUCACACAUGGAACAAUAAUGAGGGGGCUUGAUUGAACCUUUUAUUUCCCCCCCUCCCAUGCACUGUAACCCCCGGCCCGUCUAAAAAAAAAAAAAAAAAAAAGAAAAGGAAAAAAAGACGCAGCUCUUACUGUUUUUGUUCGGUUUGGUCUUCCACCCGUUUGUCACGGCGAAGCUGUACGGCACUAUCUCGGACGAUGCUGUUGCAUCCAUAUAUAUGGUCGGUUGUGCUGAGAUUUGUCCUGUGUUUCAUAGCAUUACCGAGUAACUCCAAGGAGGCGGUUACAUCCUGUUUUGUGUUUGUGCUUUGUUGUUCUUUUCUUUGUGUGAGUUUGCAGUAGCUGCCUCUUCUAGUGUUAAUACUCUACGUAUGAUUCGGGGCGGUGUGACGGUGCACAGUUGGCCCUAGAACGAGACAAGCCAUGACGAAGAAAAAAAAACGCCACACGUAAUUCUCAAGGGCUUCCUCUGACUGCACAGACACACGAUCACCUUUUCAGGCUCACACAGUAGGAAGAAUCAACUUAUCCUUUAUGGCAGCUAGUAGCUAGGUCAUCCAGGGCUUCCAGACACUUGUGUUCAAAUCCCAGCAGCUGCAGAAUGUUUUUCGUGUUUUUGUUUUGUUUUCUAAUUGCCCCUACACAGUCAUCGCAUUCAGAUCGCAGUGGGAGGUUCUCACAGAUCAGGACGGGUUUGUGAGGGGUUGUUUUUGUUAUCAAGGGUAACUCCGGGCAGUCGCUGCUGCUGUGCUUUGGUGCUCCAGCCAGUUUUGUUGUUAAUCUUAUUCACUGUGUUCGUUUGCUACUUCGGUGAUGAUGGCAGUAGCUCCCCUCCCCGAGGUAUCUGUCCUGGUUGAGCGCAGCAGUGCACUGACUUCGACAGUUUGCGAGAGGAAAAAAAACCUGUCCGGGAGCUGAACUGAUAGUCUUUGUGAAGACUAGGUGCUUUUGGUGCAGCUUCCUACUGAAAAAGCACGACAUGAACAAACCCCCAGCUGUUAGCGGGAUGGAGGGAGGGAGGCCGUUUAGUUCUCAGACUAACUUCUCCAAUGCACUGUAGACCUGACAACCCUGUUCUCAUUCUCCCCUCCCUCUGUGGGACCGCCGUGUUGAAACGGGAGAGCCAUCCUUUCGUCGGGCUCUGAUGUCAAACGUCGCUUUUCUUUUUCUUCGUGCACACUCGGAACAGAUGCAGGGGCUGCGAAUGUGUCUGAAUGAACAGAUCCUUGAUGAGUGUUUGUGUGAGACCAAUCUUAAAGCCCUACUUCUUUAAACUCGUCCCACGUUGUUAAAGAAUAAAAAAAAUAAAUGUUGUAUUUGCCAGACGGUUCUAAUGUAAAUCCUGGUGCUGCACCGGGGUGUUUCCUGGCCAUUGAGAGAGUGUUAGGGUUCAUGUACAGUAGUUUAAUUGUUAAAAAGGUACAAAUUUUUUCAGAUCGACUGCUGAUUUUUAUUUUUUUUAAGUCAAACUUUCCCCCCUCCCCCAUUUCCUUCCUAAAGGUUUGAAAACAGGGUUUCCUGAGGCAUGCUAGCCAGUGACCUCUGACCUUUUUUUUGUGAUUAGAGGAGGGGGAUGCGAAGAGAGCCACGCCAGUAAGGGGUGACAGAUGCCCCCUCAAGCCUCCGCUCUCCUAUUUUUGCUUUAAAUCUCUUUGUAUGCAGAACCAAAAUGUAAAACGUCAGCAAACGUAGGUUUCAGGCCUAACCUGUGUGUGUAUAUACCCUGGAUACAAUCAUUGGGAUCUUGUUUUCAAAAGCAAAAUGACUUAAUUGAAGAUAAGUGUAGUUUCUAAAGAACAUGUAUCAUUAUUUGUAAGUUAACCAUCUGCAUGUCUUCAAGCCACCUGGCAUUAGCUAAUAAUUUUUAAGAUAAAAAAAGAAAAAAAAACUUUUUACACGUUUUAUUUUUUACAAUUUAUUUGCUUACCUAAAUAUCCCAGACAAUAAUGUGACCCUUUUUAUUACUUCAAAUUUAUUUUUAUUUUCCAUUUUUUAUUUUCCUUAUUUCCUGUGUACUACAUAUAGGCAAUUUAUAACAAAAUGAGAAAAUUAUUGAAGAAAUUUUAAAAUUGAAAUAUAUUUUAUUUGAAAGUUUAUGGACCUUUUAACCGUGAGCCGGGAAAAAAUUGUAUAAUCAUAUAAUUUGAGCUGACUUGACGGUUAUGAGAAAUGUAUCAAGAGUUUUAUUUUUUAUGCUUCUUUAAUAAAGUCUUGUUUUUGGUUUCAUUUUUUUACUGUUAAAUAAGAACUCGUGUCUCGUGUCUUUAUUAGUAGAGUAGACCCACAUGGUGGCAGUAGAGAGACACCUGCAGGACAAACAUGAAGAAUGCUGCAGCUCAGGUGUGUUUGGAAACCCACACUGUAAAAUGAUGUUUUGUGACAGACUAGAAGAAAUGUGUUAGGCUGCCAGAAGAAAAUCUUCUCUGUGAAUUAAACAUCUUUGGCUUAUAGGCUGUUGAUCUGACAGAAAGGAUGUUCUGAAGAAGAAUAUUUUUCACAGAUUUCUGACAUUUUAGAAACUGAACUAGAGCCAAAGCAAUUACUACACUGACAGAAAAGGGAUUUUUUAAUGACCAA